rnacentral:rRNA from 1 species
AAACUUGAGAGUUUGAUCCUGGCUCAGAACGAACGCUGGCGGCAUGCCUAACACAUGCAAGUCGAACGAUCCCUUCGGGGAUAGUGGCGCACGGGUGCGUAACGCGUGGGAACCUGCCCUUAGGUUCGGAAUAACUCAGAGAAAUUUGAGCUAAUACCGGAUAAUGUCUUCGGACCAAAGAUUUAUCGCCUUUGGAUGGGCCCGCGUAGGAUUAGCUUGUUGGUGGGGUAAUGGCCUACCAAGGCGACGAUCCUUAGCUGGUCUGAGAGGAUGAUCAGCCACACUGGGACUGAGACACGGCCCAGACUCCUACGGGAGGCAGCAGUGGGGAAUAUUGGACAAUGGGCGAAA